UUGAGGAUGGCAAAAUUGAAGGCUCAUCUGGGAUGAACAAAAGUUGCAGCCCAGAAGAUGACAAAUGCAAGGGCUUAUCUGAGAUGAACAGAAGUAGCGGCCUAGCAGCAGAGGAACCAAAAGGAUCUGAAAAUGAGAAGAGUAGUGCCCUGGAGGAUGACAAAUGCAAAGGCAUAUCUGAGAUGAAAACAAGUAGCAGCUUGGCAGGAGAGGAGCCAAAAGGAUCUGAAAAUGAGAAGAGUAGUGCCCUGGAGGAUGACAAAUGCAAAGGCAUAUCUGAGAUGAAAAUAAGUAGCAGCUUGGCAGGAGAGGAGCCAAAAGGAUCUGAAACAGAGAAAAGCAAUGCUGUGGAGGAUGACACAAGUAAAAGCUUAGAUGAGAUGAGUAGAAGUGGCAACUCAGCAACAGAGGAAACAGAAGUAUUGAAAAAUGAGAAAAGCAAAGGGAU
rnacentral:lncRNA from 1 species